rnacentral:rRNA from 1 species
UGGGGAAUAUUGCGCAAUGGGGGAAACCCUGACGCAGCAACGCCGCGUGAGUGAUGAAGGCCUUCGGGUCGUAAAGCUCUGUCGGAGGGAAAGAAACUAUUCAUGGCUAAUAUCCAUGGAUAUUGACGGUACCCUCAAAGGAAGCACCGGCUAACCACGUGCCAGCAGCCGCGGUAAUACGUGGGGUGCAAGCGUUGUUCGGAAUUACUGGGCGUAAAGCGCGUGUAGGUGGCUAAUUAUGUCAGGUGUGAAAGCCCUCGGCCUAACCGAGGAAGUGCGCCUGAAACUGAUUGGCUUGAGUACGAGAGAGGAGGACGGAAUUCCCAGUGUAGAGGUGAAAUUCGUAGAUAUUGGGAGGAACACCGGCGGCGAAAGCGGUUCUCUGGAUCGAUACUGACACUAAGACGCGAAAGCGUGGGUAGCAAACAGGAUUAGAUACCCCCGUAGUCC